UAUCCUUAGGAACCAGAAAAACGAUGUUACUGAAGAAAAACUCAUUAGAAGAAAUAAGUCAUGUGGAGGGAUUUUGAGGAGAAUUGAAUUUCUUGGCAUAAAAAAUAAAUCAGGCUUAAUAUUUAGUAAUGUGAGCUUUUGAUACAGCCACCAACCAUGACACCGUAGCUGAGAGAGAAGGAGUGAACUUUGCACUGUACGUGUUGCAUAAGAAAGACCCUCUGAUCCUGCCAAAUGCAGAAUCAGGAGACUGAUGGAAAACAUCAGUUAGUUUAAAGUUUCAAAGAAGCAGCUUUAAAAACAUGGAGAUUAAAAACAGAUUAAAGGAUUCGGUAAUCUCCAGAUUAAUGGUGUUUGUUGUUCAAGCCACCAGUGUGCCUCUAAAGGUUUCUGACUUCCCAUACUUAUCAAACCUGAUCUUUCCAGGUUGUGGGAAGAGGUGACUUUGCCAUGAUAUCUACAGGACACUGCAAGCUGUCAAUUACCUGAUUCUCCUUCAUGACAGUCACGUCCCUUGACAAGAACAAAUCUGGUCCCAACAUCAGGUUUGAUGACCAUCCCUAGUCUGUAAAUUAAUACCCAGCUCUGUCUUUCCCAUGUGUCCCAACUAAAGUUUCACAGCUUUUUCUCAGCCUCAUCUUUGUUGUCUCUGAAGAAUUUCCACUCUCUUAAUCCCCUCUCUGGAACAAGAACAUGUUUCACCACGGACCUUGCUGAGUCCCAGUCAUGAUACUGCAAACUAAUCCUUCAGACAGUUUGACACUGUAAAUUAAUUCAUCAGACAGUUUAAGAUGAACUGCCAGUCCAGACACCGAAUACCUUGCUACCAGGACAACUUGGUCACUGGGGAUAGUUCAUCCUAUUUACUCCUGGCCCACACACAACAACUUUCUUUAUUCUUUCUUUGACCUCAAAGGACUGAGCUGACUGCACUCCAUGUUUUGUGUUCUGGGGGAGGAUGAGGUCUGUGGCGUACUACUGGAAAAGAGGUUGGGAAAUGGAGAGUUAUCUAUAUGCAUCCAUAGCCUCCUAUCCUCAUAGAGAUGAGGGAAGGGGUGUGAGAAACUGAUGUAAGGGAAUAGAAGGGAAACAAUAAUUUGGGCAUCAAUUUUCUAGAAAUACUCUCUUCACAAUUAUCUAUGUAAUUUUAGCCCAACUAAUAGUUAUUAAGAUUAAUGGUAGUUAGUGAAGGAAUAGCAAUUAAAAGCUCAAAUAAACUCACUCAUUUAGUGAUAAAUACUUUUUUGCUGCAUGGUGACCCUACCAGCAUAACUUUUGGAAGUAUCACACCUAACAAAUCCUGAGAAAACAUGAGAUGUCUACAAGCAGGGCUUUUCCAGAUGUUUGUUCUGCAUUUCCUAGUACCCAAAGCCACAGAGUCUAAUAUUCUGACCAUAUAAAGGUAACUAAACAUUAAACAAAUAGAGCUGCUGACAUGUUAAGGGCUUUUUAUCUUUCGUGCUCAGAAGUCAGUGGAAAAAAAUGAAUUGAUUUGAAUCAUACUCGGAUGAGAGUUUAAUUAUGGCAGACACUGUUCUGCUAGGAAUUGGUCUGAAUUGAUAGUCUUUAAAUGUGUCUCCAGGUGCCAAACAACCCUUAGCCUUCCAGAGACAUACAAGAGAAUCUGACAAUAGAAAAGGAAACAGAAUAUUUAUUUGACGUGGAAUAUAGUGAAACAUGGCCAUUAGGUUCCUCUGUAUGUGAUUAAUUAAAACACUGCCCAGUAAAUGAACAUAAUGUUUAACACAUAAUGCUCAGCUUUAAAAUCUGGUCCACACUAUAAACACUGUAAAAACAGGUGUAGUCUGAACACUAUGACACUUGUCUGCAACCUUGACAUUUCUCUGUGUCAUGGAACAGCAAUCCUGAUCAGAGUUCAAGAGCUGAUUACUUUUCCAGCUCUGUUUGUCUUUCAGGCUUUGCAAUGCACAUCAUAUUUCAGCCUUGCUCCAAAAGUGGUUGCUGCAAAUAGUCCACUAAGCAUUUGCCAAUUUGCAAUCUAUGCUUUUCUUUUAAAAGAUCACUAAAGUAGUCACUAGUGCUGCGUAAAAGAAGCAGUAACAACAUGAGUUUUACUAUUCAAUACAGCCACUUUAAUAGGAAACAUUUAUAUCUUCCUACACGACAAGGCCCCUCGGUGAGGUGCUUAUCAUCAGCUUUCUGCUUCACUUAUCCAGCAGGUAGGUGGACCCAGGCUUAGGGCCUGGAUGAGUGAGUAGCUGCAGACUAGCUCCUGGAUUGUGACAUAGGUGAAAUGAAGUUGACUAACCCACUUUUUGGUCACCUUAAUAAACAAACUGGACAGUAGGUGUAUUUUGGGAACUCUUUACCAACUAGCUAGUUAUUCCUGCCAUAAAGUCUGUAUCUCUAGAUUUACUUCAGUAUAAGAUGGCAAGGUUGUUCGGCCUUUUGGCUUGCUUGAGCAGCACUGAGUGAACAGGCAUUUUCUUGGGCCUCAUACACACAAUUGAUCUGAAAGUAAUGCCUCCUAUUUAGUCCCAUGGAAACUACAACUGAUACAAAGAGCACAAUAACGCUAUUUGAUAGAACAAAAUCUCAGCAACAAAGUACUAGCUUUCAACACAGUCACCACCAUCAGCUAUGUAUUUUCACCAGUGAUGAACAAGAGCCUGCAUGUUGUGCUCAUAAAAAUCCACACCAGCAAAAGUGACCCACUGUCAUUGUCACAACUGCUGAAAUGCACCACUGAUCACCCUGCUGUGCUCACAUCUAGCAUUCAGUUUCCAUAAACGUUCACGAGUGUUGAGUGGGUGCCAUUUUUUUGCAUGGAGGAAUUCAAUGACACACAUUUGUUUCAUCAGCACUUCCAUGCCUUCUAUGACUAUUUGGUCAGACUGCCCCUCUGCUGCCUCCUGUCACACAGCAACAAAAUGUACUGGGAUACUGGUGGAAAGGUUCAACCUUUACUUCCAUACAGUAUGGGGUAUAUCUCUCUGCUAAGAUACAGCUUAUAAGAAGUAAAGAGACAUGAUCAGAAUUUUGAGUAGAAUGCCUGAUUGCAUCACUGUACAUUCCAUAUGAAAAAUUGCAGGUCAUGUAUUUGUGUCAACUGAAAAUGGAGUUGCAAAUGUACAAAAAUAAAAUGAUAACUUUUUUUGGCAAUCUUGAAACCUGUUCUCAAAUGCCUUUAUCAAAAUGAAAAGCAUGGCUGCAUACUUUUUUCUGUUCACAGUACAGUGUUUAGCCAACAAAUCAAAAUGCAUGCAAUGGUUUGCCAUAACUUGACUCAGCACUGCACUGCGCUCUCCCCAUGCCCUGGUUGCAGCUCAGACAGUGUUAACAUUGGCUGCUACUGAGCAGUGGGUGCACCCCUGGGGCAGAGCUACAGAAUCAGAAGGGGCAGAUGGCAUGGGACAGCAGCUGGGCCACCCUGCCAGCUGUACCAGGCUGCAUGCAGCCCAUGGGCCACUGGUUGGACAUGCCUGAUGUAGUAUCUGUUUUUGCUGCAGGAGGACAAGAUCCCAUUUCCUCAUAGAUGCAAAAGAGGGAAGGAAUCACUGUCCUGCCACCAGCUCUGUGGUUCACUCUGUCUCAGGUUAGCUGAGAUUGGUGAAUCUGAUGCACAUGGCUUCGAAAGAGCAAAGGUGUUCAGAAGGCUCGUGCUAAGCUAGUUGCAAGACAGUUAUGAAUUAACUCUUAAAGUCAGAAAGUCUAUUGAGUGUAUUUUUCAUCAUUGUGAACAUUCAGCUAAUAUUUAUAAAACAAAUUUCUCCUUCCUUGCUUUUGACAGGAAUGCUAAAAUUAGUGUCUUUAAAAUAACUGGAAAAUUCACCUUUAUGUAAGAGAACACCACCAAAUGCCUUAUGGUUGCCUUAGAGUUCUUCAUAUAUUAGAAGCUGCUCCUCCAUACAACAGCACAAAGGUGAUCCUUGCUGGUCCUUUCCAACUCAGAAUAUCCAGUGAUUCUGUUCUAUGAUUAUCCUUAAACUUGCUAUUAUCAGAAGUAGUUUCACAUUUGAAAGUUAUGGGCAUAUAUCCUUAAGUAGCCAAAAGCUAUGGUGAAUCGUGAAGGCUUUCUUACAAAAUCCAGAAUUUUCCCAAUAGUACACCUUCACUACCCAGCUGAGCUGGAUGAACUAGAAGAGGUCCUCAGAAUUGGGAUUAGGUUAACCAGUCUGAAAGCAACUCUAUUUAAUGGCAGAUAGCCUGAACAUAUAUUGCAAUGUCACUGAGCAUCAGACCAAUGAGAUGGAAGAAGCAGAUCAAUGGGCAUCUUCUUUUCCAUGAAAUAUAAAAUCAGCUGGAACAACUAGUCAACAUUUUAUUGCCACGUCAGGUCUCAGCAAGACAUGGAAACAUACUGGCAGGUUUGAUAUGCAAGGAUGGGCUAAAGUACAUCAGCAGUACUUUGAUCCCAAAGGUAAAAGGAAAUGUUUGCUUUUUGUAAACAAUGUCUAUAAAUGUCUAUAAGCUUUUUUAGAUAGUGAGCUAAUAAUUCUGCUGUUCCUGCUGUUACACAAAUGAAGAUGUUCCAUGCUAGAAGCAAGAGUAGCUCUUAAUUCUAGCUCCAUCUUAAAAGUACUUAGCCAGCUCAAGCAAAUCCCUGCUGCAUGAUGAUUUGGUACUGAAAGCUGAGGAGCUUUCAGAGGGCAGAAACAAGCUUUAUGGAAGAGAAAUUAUCAGGGGACUGUUAAAUACAAGUACUUCCAGAUUCAAGAUGUCCUUAAGUCACAGACUGUUGGGGUCAUGGAGACUGUUUUGAGGAAUUCUUUUUAUACAAUGGAUAUUCCCUCUUGUUACACUCACUUGUCCACCUCUGUACAUAGGGCACAGUUAAAUAUACCUUUGGCCUGUUCUAGGAUGGAUUCUUUAAAGACUUCAUUUUAACCUAGACUCUUGUCACAGGACUCUGGCCAGAGUCAAUAUUUAUCAUGUAAUAAAACAAACAAAACAUCUGAUCUAAGACACGUCUAGAAAUUCAGUAUAUGUUCUAUUAGGUAAUGUGUUUAAAGUGCGUAGUUAAGCACAUUCUCAGGUUGCAGUUUGUAGAAGGAUCGGUUUUCAGCUUUUAUUUCAGGGUUCUAUUUGCUUAGCUGACAACUAUACUUAAAAAUAGAGGAUUUUAGCCAUACAUAUCAAUGAGUGUACUUGUAGGGUCUGUGAGUAUGGUUUCAUAUUAUUUUAUGGGGAAUGAACCAUGUCAAUACUGUCAAUCACCUCAAAGACUUCCAGGCUAAGAAUCCGACUUGCUGCCAAAGGCUAUAUUUUCACAGGAAUUUAUGAAAAUGAAUCUUGCCACUUUUGAGUAUGAGAAAAAACAUGAUUAGGAAAACAGUUUCUUCCCUCCUUAACGUGGCCACUAUGAUUAGCCAUGUAGUCAUGACUCAAGACUUGUCCUAGUUAGGGCUUUAACAGGUAUUAUAUAAACCAUGGGAGUAUUUGCCCCUGUCCUUCAUGGGGAAGACUGGGAGGUUGGAGAAAGAUUCAUGCGCUUGGACUUUAAAAACUGAUCCAUCAUUAACUUGAAAAUAAUAACAAUAAAAAUAAAAAGCUGUAAAAGGCUG